rnacentral:rRNA from 1 species
UUGGAGGUAAAUCUCUCCUAAAGCUAAAUAUUGACGAAAGACCGAUAGCGAACAAGUACCGUGAGGGAAAGAUGAAAAGCACCUUGAAAAGGGGGUCAAAAAGUACGUGAAAUUGCUGAAAGGGAACCGUAUGAAAUCAGCUUGGCCGUUUGGUAAUCAGCCUAGACUUUGGUUUGGGUGCACUUGCCAUUUGGUACAGCCUGCGACAAUUUGAUUUGGAGGAAAAAAUGAGAGAGAAUGUGGCCUUGUCUUCGGGGGAGGUGUUAUAGCUCUUUUAAAAAUACUCUGGAUUGGAUUGAGGAUCGCAGCGAGCCUUUAGGGAUGAACUGUGGGCGCUUGGCGGUUGUUAGGGAGAAAUUUCUAUUUAGGUAGUGUCUUCUUCAUAACUGUCAACUCGCUUACUUUUUCUUUUUCUCGCUUAGGUCGCAGGCAUAAUGAUUUUAUAUGACC